rnacentral:rRNA from 1 species
GAUGAACGCUAGCGGGAGGCCUAACACAUGCAAGCCGAGCGGUAUUUGUUCUUCGGAACAGAGAGAGCGGCGCACGGGUGCGGAACACGUGUGCAACCUGCCUUUAUCUGGGGGAUAGCCUUUCGAAAGGAAGAUUAAUACCCCAUAAUAUAUUGAGUGGCAUCAUUUGAUAUUGAAAACUCCGGUGGAUAGAGAUGGGCACGCGCAAGAUUAGAUAGUUGGUGAGGUAACGGCUCACCAAGUCAAUGAUCUUUAGGGGACCUGAGAGGGUGAUCGGCCACACUGGAACUGAGACACGGACCAGACUGCUACGGGAGGCAGCAGUAGGGAAUCUUCCGAAAUGGGCGAAAGCCUGACGGAGCAACGCCGCGUGAGUGGUGAAGGUCUUCGGAUCGUAAAACUCUGUUAUUAGGGAAGAACAUAUGUGUAAGUAACUGUGCACAUCUUGACGGUACCUAAUCAGAAAGCCACGGCUAACUACGUG